rnacentral:lncRNA from 1 species
CUCCCUUCCCCAUCUCUGCUCACCAUGUGGACGCUGAAAUCGUCCCUGGUCCUGCUUCUGUGCCUCACCUGCAGCUAUGCCUUUAUGUUCUCUUCUCUGAGACAGAAAACUAGCGAACCCCAGGGGAAGGUGCCGUGUGGAGAGCACUUUCGGAUUCGGCAGAACCUACCAGAGCACACCCAAGGCUGGCUUGGGAGCAAAUGGCUCUGGCUUUUGUUUGCUGUUGUGCCGUUUGUGAUACUGCAGUGUCAAAGAGACAGUGAGAAGAAUAAGGUUCACAGGAAGUUGCAAAGGUGGCACUGAGAGGUCCCGUGUGCUCUUCACCCAGUUUCCUCCUGUGGUUGCGUCUUAGUUGUACAGAACUUCAUUGUGUGAACGUGCCAUAGUUUACACAGCUGUGCUCUCAGAUAUGAACACGCAGGGAGCAUCCAAACAUUUGAAAUGACAAACAACAGUGCAGGGCCUAACCUUGUGCCUGUGUAUUUUGGUAUUGCUGAAGCUGUAAUUUCAGGGUAGAUACCUAGAAGAGUGAUCGUAGGUUAGAAAGAUCCCAGGUACCGAACUGAAGAUGGUAGAGGAAAAGUUUUUCCUGCUUAACAUAUUCAACUCUCUACCCUCAAUAUAUUUGGCUGUUAUUAUUCUGGUUUACAUGUAUCAUAAUUUAACCAGUUCCCUACUGGUGGAUGUCUAGGUUUCCCCGAUGUUUUGCUAUUAAAAACACACAUGGUACACGUUUUUCUAGAUCGGGCAGGGUUUGCCCAUCUCCACUUCAAGCAGCACAACCACCAUCUGCCAGUGUUGGGGUUUACUCUACAGUCAGCAAACACUGUUGGCACAUCCAGUCAGAGAAACUGAAAACAGAAAGCAGAAAUGGCUUACACUGGACUAAUUUUAGAAUUUCUAAGUACAUUUAAGUGAUGACUCAUCCCACUUAAAUUCAAAGCUGUUUGUUGUGCCAUCUGGCUCAUCAGAACAUGAAAGACUUCUCCUGCAACCUGGAAAAAGGCCAGAGAGGAAGACGAAUGGAGGAGUCAACCCCAUGGGAAUGCUGACUGAGUGUUAGCUCCCCGUGGACAGGAAUGUCACUGCAUGAAUAGGCUGCAGUAUGUCUGGGCCUGUUUUUUUUUCAUAAAAUGUUCCCCCCCUGUUUUUUUCUUAUUCCAAAGCAAUGCAACAAAAAGCACAAGAAAUCAAAAAGGAAAAAAUAGAUAUUGGACUUCAUCAAAAUGAAAAACUUUUGUGCUUCAAAGGAAAUGG